rnacentral:rRNA from 1 species
UCUGAGGCCGCAACGCCCUGAAGGCGCCCGAUCUCGUCCGAUCUGGGAAGCUAAGCAGGGUCGGGCCCGGUCGGGACCUGAAUUCUUGGUGCUUUCAUUU